UGAAGUCCCUUGCGGAUGGAGCUAUUGAGAGUCGCAGAUACCAGGUGGCUGCAACUGUUUAUUAAAAACACAGCACUGUGCAAAAUCGUAAGAUGACGUAUACGGUGUGACGCCUGCCCGGUGCCGGAAGGUUAAUUGAUGGGGUUAGACUUCGGUCGAAGCUCUUGAUCGAAGCCCCGGUAAACGGCGGCCGUAACUAUAACGGUCCUAAGGUAGCGAAAUUCCUUGUCGGGUAAGUUCCGACCUGCACGAAUGGCGUAAUGAUGGCCACGCUGUCUCCACCCGAGACUCAGUGAAAUUGAAAUCGCUGUGAAGAUGCAGUGUACCCGCGGCUAGACGGAAAGACCCCGUGAACCUUUACUACAGCUUGGCACUGAACAUUGACCCUACAUGUGUAGGAUAGGUGGGAGGCUUUGAAGCACGUACGCCAGUAUGUGUGGAGCCGUCCUUGAAAUACCACCCUUGUAGUGUUGAUGUUCUAACGUCGACCCCUAAUCGGGGUUGCGGACAGUGCCUGGUGGGUAGUUUGACUGGGGCGGUCUCCUCCCAAAGAGUAACGGAGGAGCACGAAGGUGGGCUAAUCACGGUUGGACAUCGUGAGGUUAGUGCAAUGGCAUAAGCCCGCUUGACUGCGAGAAUGACAAUUCGAGCAGGUGCGAAAGCAGGUCAUAGUGAUCCGGUGGUUCUGAAUGGAAGGGCCAUCGCUCAACGGAUAAAAGGUACUCCGGGGAUAACAGGCUGAUACCGCCCAAGAGUUCAUAUCGACGGCGGUGUUUGGCACCUCGAUGUCGGCUCAUCACAUCCUGGGGCUGAAGUCGGUCCCAAGGGUAUGGCUGUUCGCCAUUUAAAGUGGUACGCGAGCUGGGUUUAGAACGUCGUGAGACAGUUCGGUCCCUAUCUGCCGUGGGCGUUGGAAGAUUGAAGGGGGCUGCUCCUAGUACGAGAGGACCGGAGUGGACGAACCUCUGGUGUUCGGGUUGUGUCGCCAGACGCAUUGCCCGGUAGCUAAGUUCGGAAUCGAUAACCGCUGAAAGCAUCUAAGCGGGAAGCGAGCCCUGAGAUGAGUCUUCCCUGAUACUUUAAGUAUCCUAAAGGGUUGUCGGAGACUACGACGUUGAUAGGUCAGGUGUGUAAGUGCUGUGAGGCAUUGAGCUAACUGAUACUAAUUGCCCGUGAGGCUUAACCAUACAACACCCAAGGGGUUU
rnacentral:rRNA from 1 species